rnacentral:rRNA from 1 species
GACAGAGGGUGCAAACGUUGCUCGGAAUCACUGGGCGUAAAGGGCGUGUAGGCGGGAAGGAAAGUCAGAUGUGAAAUCCCCAGGCUCAACCUGGGAACUGCAUUUGAAACUCCCUUUCUUGAGUACCGGAGAGGAAAGUGGAAUUCCUGGUGUAGAGGUGAAAUUCGUAGAUAUCAGGAGGAACACCGGUGGCGAAGGCGGGUCUCUGGGCAACAACUGACGCUGAGGAGCGAAAGCGUGGGGAGCGAACAGG